UCCUGACCUUACAAUCAAUCUUUACUUAACUUACACAUGCAAGUCUCCGCACCCCAGUGAAAAUGCCCUUACCCCCCCUUCAGGAAUAAGGAGCCGGUAUCAGGCACAACAACCUGCCCAAAACACCUAGCCACGCCACUCCCACAAGGGUUCUCAGCAGUGAUAAACAUUAAAUAUAAGUGUCAACUUGACUUAGUUAAAGUAAACAGAGCCGGCCAAUCUGGUGCCAGCCGCCGCGGUUACACCACAUGACUCAAGUUGAUUUAAAUCGGCGUAAAACGUGAUUAAAGCCACCUCCCCAUUAGAGUUGAAAUUAAACCUGCCUGUAGCAAGACCGUUUUUUUUAAACCCAAACACGAAAGUUACUCUAAUUAUUUACUUGAAUUCACGAAAACUUGGACACAAACUGAGAUUAGAUACCUCACUAUGCCAAGUCGUAAACUCUUACUUACAUCCUCAUCGCCAGGGCACUACGAGCUAAGCUUAAAACCCAAAGGACUUGACGGUACCCCACAUCCCCCUAGAGGAGCCUGUCCCAUAAUCGAUACCCCCCGCUAAACCUCACCAUUCUUAGCCUUUCAGCCUGUAUACUUCCGUCGUCAGCUAACCACAUGAGUGAAAUUCAGUUAGCCUAAUGAUCUUACAUCAAAACUUCAGGUCAAUGUGCAGCAAAUAGAAUGGAAACAGAUGGGCUACACUUUCUAACAUAGAAAAUAACGAAAGACACCGUGAAAUCUGGGUCAAAAGGUGGAUUUAGAAGUAAAAAGAAAUUAGAGUAUUCUUUUUAAUCUGGCACUGGGGCGCGUACACACCGCCCGUCACCCUCUUCGAAGCAAUUAAUAAAGUAAAUAACCACCCCAGCAGAAGAGAAGAGGUAAGUCGUAACAUGGUAAGUAUACCGGAAGGUGUACUUGGAAA
rnacentral:ncRNA from 1 species